UAUGGCUCAGGACGAACGCUGGCGGCGUGCUUAACACAUGCAAGUCGAACGGAAAGGCCCUUUCGGGGGUACUCGAGUGGCGAACGGGUGAGUAACACGUGGGUGAUCUGCCCUGCACUUUGGGAUAAGCCUGGGAAACUGGGUCUAAUACCGAAUAUACCCUGCUGGUCGCAUGGCCUGGUGGGGGAAAGCUUUUGCGGUGUGGGAUGGGCCCGCGGCCUAUCAGCUUGUUGGUGGGGUGAUGGCCUACCAAGGCGACGACGGGUAGCCGGCCUGAGAGGGUGACCGGCCACACUGGGACUGAGAUACGGCCCAGACUCCUACGGGAGGCAGCAGUGGGGAAUAUUGCACAAUGGGCGCAAGCCUGAUGCAGCGACGCCGCGUGAGGGAUGACGGCCUUCGGGUUGUAAACCUCUUUCAGCACAGACGAAGCGCAAGUGACGGUAUGUGCAGAAGAAGGACCGGCCAACUACGUGCCAGCAGCCGCGGUAAUACGUAGGGUCCGAGCGUUGUCCGGAAUUACUGGGCGUAAAGAGCUCGUAGGUGGUUUGUCGCGUUGUUCGUGAAAACUCACAGCUUAACUGUGGGCGUGCGGGCGAUACGGGCAGACUAGAGUACUGCAGGGGAGACUGGAAUUCCUGGUGUAGCGGUGGAAUGCGCAGAUAUCAGGAGGAACACCGGUGGCGAAGGCGGGUCUCUGGGCAGUAACUGACGCUGAGGAGCGAAAGCGUGGGGAGCGAACAGGAUUAGAUACCCUGGUAGUCCACGCCUGUAAACGGUGGGUACUAGGUGUGGGUUUCCUUCCUUGGGAUCCGUGCCGUAGCUAACGCAUUAAGUACCCCGCCUGGGGAGUACGGCCGCA
rnacentral:rRNA from 1 species